rnacentral:lncRNA from 9 species
GGCGGCCCUGGUGACAGCAAGGUGGUGGUGGGGGGGGGCACCUGCGCAGCUGGGCCGCCUUCUCUGGGGAAGGCCUUCUGUUUGCACAAAUGUUCCCGGUCUGAGGUUCAGGGUCUGUGGCUCGCUCUGCUCUUGCUGCUUCAUUUACGGACCAGCCGGAUCCCAGGAUACCUGACGGCCCGCCCGUCUGCUAACCAAGAGCCUCAGCUGUCUGGGGCACUAUGACCACUGUGUGGCCGUGACCAAGAGGCUUUGCCCUGUCGCUUGGCGUGACCUCCUCUGGCUCCCCCUUUGUUUACUUGGGGGCCUUGUACCCACCUCCUUUGGAGCAGGGGCCCAUGGUCCAGUGCAGAAUGGCCGUUCCUGGCUUUUCUGCAUCCCCUGCUGGAACAAGGGGAGCCACUGCAACCAUCCCGGGCGGUUUGUCAAAUGGUUGGAUUGAAAACUGACCCCAAUCCUGAGCCUCAUGGAGUCACAGAGUCUGG